UCAGAAUAAAAGCACACGAUUGCAUGUGU
rnacentral:sRNA from 1 species